ensembl:lncRNA
CUAAAUUAGUUACAAAGUAGCUUUAAGACAAUUUGCUGUGGUUGUUAUUAUUUAAAGAUUUAUCUGCUUAAUGUAUGUGAGUACACUGUAGCUAUCUUCAGACACACCAGAAGAGGGCAUCAUAUCUCAUUACAGAUGGUUGUGAGGCACCAUGUGGUUGCUGGGAAUUGAACUCAGGACCUCUGGAAGAGCAGUCGGUGCUCUUAACCACUGAGCCAUCUCUCCAGCUUUUUUAUUGUUGUUGUUGUUACUAUUUUGACUGGGUCUUACCAAGUAGCCCUGAGUGGCCUGGAGUUUAGCUCACUAUAUAUGUUACCCUCUAAUCCAAAGAGACCUGUCUGCUUCUGCCUCUCCAGUACUGGGAUUAAAAGCACAUGCCACAAGGUUUGCCAGAGCAUUUUAACCCCAAGACGUAUAGGGGAGUUUGUGUACAGAUAUAGCUGUGUACCGUGUGACUGCUUGGUGCCUAUGGCGGCCAAAAGAGGGUGUUACAUCUCCUGGAACUAGCUGUGGACUGCCAUGUGGAUACUGCAAACUGAACGCAGGGCCUCUGGAAGAGUAGCCAGUGCUCUUAACUGCUGAGCCACCUCCAGCCACCUCCCUGCGGAAUAUUUUAAAGAAGAAAAAAGAAAGAGAGAAUUAUUUGUAUAUGCAUACACAGGUACAUGUAGAAGUCAGAGGACAACUUUAUCAAGACCGCUUCUUCCACCGUGACAUUGCUGGGGUUCAGGAGUCACUGCACAAAACCAUAUGAACACUGAUCUUAGACAGGAAUAGUUUAUUGAGCAUUUGCCCCAGGACUGAUUGAUCAGGGCUGCAGACUAGACUUGAGCUGACUGUGACCCAGAGCCAGGAGCCUAAGACUUAAAGGAGACUUAGAGCCAGGAGCUCUAAGUCUAAAAUCCACAAACAUCUGUGCCAGGUUAUUCCACCAAUCAGGAUUCAGGGAUAGGGACUUCCCUAGGAACGUGUUCGUUGUACACUUGUCCUGCUCCCACUGGUUGGGGUAUUCAGCUGUGGCAGGGGCCUUGUCUAACAGUAUCCAUGUUUUAACUCGCCAACUGGGAUCUCAGUUACCCACAUAGUACAAGUCCUGGGAAGGUCUUGUGAACUUCAACUAUACGUGACCCCUAUUCAAAAUGGAAGUUUUACUCCCAAUGGCUUCUUAUAUUGGAGCAGGUGUCUCUCUUAUGGUGGGGUGUAUCCCAGGGGCAGUUUUAAAGGCAAGAAACCAUAAACGCUCAUGCAUAGAUGUAGGAAGUGCUGUUAGAUGGUGGUAGCUUAUUGUGGCUAACUGUACAAAGCAGUUCUAGCUGACCUCUGUUGUGACUGUGUUAGGGUCUAGGUAAAAUGUUAAUAGCUUGUGACCUGUUACUUGUCUAGCCUGAAACUUUGUCAUGAGCUGUUAUUAGGAAACUUUCUCAUUCGCUGUUACUGCUUUAUUAGAAUGUUCUGUGCUUUGGUGUUCUUGGAAACCAAUCACAAUGGAAGUCAGAACCACUUUGUAUAGUUAGCCAUAAUGACUUUGAACCCAAGCCAGCCCAGUAGUACUUCCGGCAUUUAUUUGUGAGCGUGUAUGGUUCCUUGCCUUUAUAAGCUGCCCUGGAAUGGAUCCCAAUAUAAGAGAGGCA